rnacentral:misc_RNA from 1 species
CACCAAUCAAGCCUCGCUUGGCCAUGGGCACCGCGGUUUACCCCGCGCGCCCCAAUGUCUCCGGCUGAGCCGUCCGUCUCUAAGCGUUGUGGUAUCAUCAAUUCGCUUCGGAGUGCGGGUGCGUUUGCGCCGUUAAACUUUACCAA